rnacentral:tRNA from 1 species
AGGAUAAUAGUUCAAACAGAACAUUUAAUUUGCAUUUAAAAAGUAUAAACAACUUUAUUUAUCUUA